rnacentral:rRNA from 1 species
GACGAACGCUGGCGGCGUGCUUAACACAUGCAAGUCGAACGGACAGGCCCUGCUUUUGUGGGGUGCUCGAGUGGCGAACGCGUGAGUAACACGUGAGUAACCUGCCCUUGACUUUGGGAUAACUUCAGGAAACUGGGGCUAAUACCGGAUAGGAGCUCCUGCUGCAUGGUGGGGGUUGGAAAGUUUCGGCGGUUGGGGAUGUACUCGCGGCUUAUCAGCUUGUUGGGGGGGUAGUGGCUUACCAAGGCUUUGACGGGUAGCCGGCCUGAGAGGGUGACCGGCCACAUUGGGACUGAGAUACGGCCCAGACUCCUACGGGACGCAGCAGUGGGGAAUAUUGCACAAUGGGCGGAAGCCUGAUGCAGCAACGCCGCGUGCGGGAUGACGGCCUUCGGGUUGUAAACCGCUUUCGCCUGUGACGAAGCGUGAGUGACGGUAAUGGGUAAAGAAGCACCGGCUAACUACGUG